rnacentral:ncRNA from 1 species
UAUGACGGCAGUGCCCAGAGGUGUCAUCCCAGUGCCCAGACACUGGGAUCCAGAAAACUUAACUUUAAAUAAGUGGCUGCAUAAUAAAGACUAGAUUCCAGUGUCACGCACUGGCAUGACACCAUAGAGGCACUGGGA